rnacentral:rRNA from 1 species
UACGGAAGGUGCGAGCGUUAAUCGGAAUUACUGGGCGUAAAGCGCACGCAGGCGGUUUGUUAAGCUAGAUGUGAAAGCCCCGGGCUCAACCUGGGAUGGUCAUUUAGAACUGGCAGACUAGAGUCUUGGAGAGGGGAGUGGAAUUCCAGGUGUAGCGGUGAAAUGCGUAGAUAUCUGGAGGAACAUCAGUGGCGAAGGCGACUCCCUGGCCAAAGACUGACGCUCAUGUGCGAAAGUGUGGGUAGCGAACAGG